rnacentral:rRNA from 1 species
CUAGCCCUAAACGAUGUAGACUUGGCGUCGGUGGCUUAAACGCCAUCGGUGUCGUAGCUAACGCGAUAAGUCUACCGCCUGGGGACUACGGCCGCAAGGUUAAAACUCAAAGGAAUUGACGGGUCCCCGCACAAGCAGCGGAGCGUGUGGUUUAAUUCGUUGCUACACGAAGAACCUUACCUGGGUUUGACAUAGCAGUGGUAGGGAAGCGAAAGCAGACCGACCCUUUGGGGAGCUGUUACAGGUGU